AAGAGGUAAUGGUUUUAACAUUUAGAUUGUCUUGAUUAGGAGGGACGAGGACUUGUGUGAAGAGUUCCCAAUUUGCUAAUUGGAUUUUAUAUUUAGCUAUCGUUUUUAUUGGAAGAUUGUGACCCCUGACUGUGAUAAUAAUGGGAAAAUGGUCACUAUGAUGUAGAUCAUCUUCCACCUCCCAUUUCAGGCUAGUAUGUAUACCUGGUGAACAUACUGAUACAUCGAUGGAGUCAAAUGUGCCUGAUCCUGCAUUGAAAAAUGUAGCGGAGCCAUCAUUUACAUCAUUUGAUCUGGAGCCCCAAACGGUGUUGUGGGAAUUAAAAUCCCCAACAAGAAUAAAUGGUGGUGGAAGCUGCCCAAUAAUUUUUCGAAUUUCUUCGACAUCAUAAUUUAUAUUGGGAGUGUAAAUAUUACAAAGUGUACACGAUCUACUAAUUUCAAGUUUAACGGCUACAGCCUGGUAAGUUGUAUGUAAUUUAACUUGUUUAUAAGGUGUUCCUUUGUGAAUGAGAAAUGCUACUCCUCCACAGGCUCUUGCAGGUUUUAAAUGUGUUUCCUGAAUGGCAACACACAAUGGUGUGUGCCUUUGUAUAAGUAGUUUUAGUUCAUUUAAGUUGUUGGAUAGUCCUCUACAAUUCCAUUGUAUAAUUUUUGU